rnacentral:rRNA from 1 species
UACGGAGGGGGCUAGCGUUGUUCGGAAUUACUGGGCGUAAAGCGCACGUAGGCGGCUUUGUAAGUUAGAGGUGAAAGCCCGGAGCUCAACUCCGGAAUUGCCUUUAAGACUGCAUCGCUAGAACGUCGGAGAGGUGAGUGGAAUUCCGAGUGUAGAGGUGAAAUUCGUAGAUAUUCGCAAGAACACCAGUGGCGAAGGCGGCUCACUGGCCCGAUACUGACGCUGAGGCACGAAAGCGUGGGGAGCAAACAGG